rnacentral:lncRNA from 1 species
UAUAUCUGUCUCCAUUUACUCAAUUUUAGAUAUUUUAGAUGGUAUUUGUUUACUCACUGGGAUUAUAUAAUCUCACCACCCUCAUUUCCACCCAUUUCAGGCUCAAGAUAGUCGGUAAAUAGCUCAUUUCGUUGAGGGCUACAAUUGGACUUGCAUCCUCAAAAACUGUAGGUUUACCGCUUUUGAUACUUUUGGUCGUUCGUGGGUCAAUAUGUCACUGUAAAUUAAAUUUUAUGCUUUGGUUAUCUGUAUUACAGCAUGUAUGAAUUUAUUUAGCUUUUACGCUACAAAAAUUAUUUACCGGUAACUCU